rnacentral:rRNA from 1 species
GGCGAACGCUGGCGGCGUGCUUAACACAUGCAAGUCGAACGGAAAGGCCCUGCUUUUGUGGGGUGCUCGAGUGGCGAACGGGUGAGUAACACGUGAGUAACCUGUCCUUGACUUUGGGAUAACUUCAGGAAACUGGGGCUAAUACCGGAUAGGAGCUCCUGCUGCUUGGUGGGGGUUGGAAAGUUUCGGCGGUUGGGGAUGGACUCGCGGCUUAUCAGCUUGUUGGUGGGGUAGUGGCUUACCAAGGCUUUGACGGGUAGCCGGCCUGAGAGGGUGACCGGCCACAUUGGGACGGAGAUACGGCCCAGACUCCUACGGGAGGCAGCGGUGGGGAAUAUUGCACAAUGGGCGGAAGCCUGAUGCAGCAACGCCGCGUGCGGGAUGACGGCCUUCGGGUUGUAAACCGCUUUCGCCUGUGACGAGGCGUGAGUGACGGUAAUGGGUAAAGAAGCACCGGCUAACUACGUG